GAUGAACGCCGGCGGCGUGCCUAAUACAUGCAAGUCGAGCGAACGGACGAGAAGCUUGCUUCUCUGAUGUUAGCGGCGGACGGGUGAGUAACACGUGGAUAACCUACCUAUAAGACUGGGAUAACUUCGGGAAUCCGUAGCUAAUACCGGAUAAUAUUUUGAACCGCAUGGUUCAAAAGUGAAAGACGGUCUUGCUGUCACUUAUAGAUGGAUCCGCGCUGCAUUAGCUAGUUGGUAAGGUAACGGCUUACCAAGGCAACGAUGCAUAGCCGACCUGAGAGGGUGAUCGGCCACACUGGAACUGAGACACGGUCCAGACUCCUACGGGAGGCAGCAGUAGGGAAUCUUCCGCAAUGGGCGAAAGCCUGACGGAGCAACGCCGCGUGAGUGAUGAAGGUCUUCGGAUCGUAAAACUCUGUUAUUAGGGAAGAACAUAUGUGUAAGUAACUGUGCACAUCUUGACGGUACCUAAUCAGAAAGCCACGGCUAACUACGUG
rnacentral:rRNA from 1 species